rnacentral:lncRNA from 1 species
UUUAUUAAAGUCCGCUUGAGUUGCAUCUUUUGUUCUUUGCAGCUUCAGAAUGCAUUCUGAUUGGAUACAACUCUUAUCUGGACUGAUAAGCAACAAAGAGGAAAGCCAAAUGGCAAUCUCUUAAGAGGCAAAAGCAAAAUCAUCCCUCCAUAUCUCAACCAUAUUAGACCUAGGGCAAGGGAAUCGGCCCGGUCUCCAGUCCAGCCCUGGGAGAAGCCAGCACGAGAUGUGACUCCUUCAUACACCAACCCUGGGUGAAGCCUGCCGCCCCUCAGCAGCCUCCCCUGUCUCUAGAAGCCGGCUCACCUCUUCAGCAAACCCAUGACAAUGAGACUAGCCACCACAUUUACGAACCCACUGUGUGCUGGGUAUUGUGCUCCAGAGUCUACUUCCUUUUUCAUCUAAGGAAACACGUAUCAGAUCUGGGACAUAGGACAGCUUGGAUGUAAUGGCAGCCGGAUGGUACCGAGAAAGCAAAAAAAUAAAAGUCAAGAUAGAAACUAUUAUCCCAGAAUGGCAUGCUGAAGAGGCACUGGCAACGAUAAGGACACAGCUCUUCUGCCAGGACCAAAUUUCCAACUACCGCUGCAGGAUCUGCUGGGCUUCGUUGGAAACAAAUAAACAAACAUAAGCCAACUCGCCCUCAUUUGUUUCCAUCAGCUCAAUAAAAUCGGCCGCCUCCUACUUGAGAGUCA